AACAGGAUUAGAUACCCUGGUAGUCCACGCCGUAAACGAUGUCGACUUGGAGGUUGUUCCCUUGAGGAGUGGCUUCCGGAGCUAACGCGUUAAGUCGACCGCCUGGGGAGUACGGCCGCAAGGUUAAAACUCAAAUGAAUUGACGGGGGCCCGCACAAGCGGUGGAGCAUGUGGUUUAAUUCGAUGCAACGCGAAGAACCUUACCUACUCUUGACAUCCAGAGAACUUAGCAGAGAUGCUUUGGUGCCUUCGGGAACUCUGAGACAGGUGCUGCAUGGCUGUCGUCAGCUCGUGUUGUGAAAUGUUGGGUUAAGUCCCGCAACGAGCGCAACCCUUAUCCUUUGUUGCCAGCGGUUAGGCCGGGAACUCAAAGGAGACUGCCAGUGAUAAACUGGAGGAAGGUGGGGAUGACGUCAAGUCAUCAUGGCCCUUACGAGUAGGGCUACACACGUGCUACAAUGGCGCAUACAAAGAGAAGCGACCUCGCGAGAGCAAGCGGACCUCAUAAAGUGCGUCGUAGUCCGGAUUGGAGUCUGCAACUCGACUCCAUGAAGUCGGAAUCGCUAGUAAUCGUAGAUCAGAAUGCUACGGUGAAUACGUUCCCGGGCCUUGUACACACCGCCCGUCACACCAUGGGAGUGGGUUGCAAAAGAAGUAGGUAGCUUAACCUUCGGGAGGGCGCUUACCACUUUGUGAUUCAUGACUGGGGUGAAGUCGUAACAAGGUAACC
rnacentral:rRNA from 1 species